CGUCUCAUUUUUUUUCUUUUUUUUCAGAUUGCAAAGUAUGAAGAAUUUCUACAGCCAAACUUCGCUUUUAUCAAUUAUUGUACUGGGUUUGUGCAUUAGUGUACAUUCCAUGCCAUCUUCGAAUUCAGGGAACAAUAACCCUCCUACACAUACUAAAAAUGAAGACCGGGACAAAGACGUAGUAAAGUUUGAGGAGAUAUGUAGGAAAGUAUGUAACCAAAGCCAUCCGUGUCCACCAGAAUGCGCAGAUCUUAUUGAUCCUUGGGCAAUGGACACAUAUCCUUUGUACUUAAAUAAAAGAUCUCCAGGAAUUGAUGGCUUCACAUUUGAUGAUUACUUAUUUCUGAGAUGGCUUGGUCGGGAUAUGAAGCGACACAGAUUGCAAUAAAAGACUGGAUGCGAUUGCUGUUUUAUGUACUUCAAAUAUCUAUAAACACUAGACUGUUAUGGACUCUAGAUGUGUUUUGAAGGUUGUACUUUCACAAAUUCUACAUGCGUUCUUUAAAGCAAAUUUUCAUAAGCUGUGCUUUGGUAUAAGGUUAAAGAAAGCCACAAAAUGUAUAAAUAGUUUCGCAAGUAAAAACAAGCGUGUACAUAAUACAGGAAAUCUCGGAUAACCAUUCCAGUGGAUAACUGUGCAUUAAACUUUGGUUAAAAUAUACCAGAAUAUUGAAUGUGACAAUACCGUUUAACAAAUACAGUGUCUGAUCUAACAGAUGUAGUUUUAGUGGAAAAAGAUUUUCUAAAAGUUUAACCAGCGGACAACUUAGUGGAACAGUACUGAGCAGCCUAGUCCAAUAACUGCACUGAACUCUGAAUAGUUUUGCUUGGUUGUUGUGAACAAACAUAUUUUGGAGAUUCUGUCAAUUUAUUUCAAAGGGUAAAUGAAGAAAAUUGUCAAAAAGAAGGAAUACAUGUACUAUAAUUCAUUCAUGUGCCUCUCGUGAUACAAACUUUUGUUCUAUGUUAAAGAAAAUACACUGUUCAAAAUAAUUUAAUGACAACUUUGUGUUUUCAGAGGAAAUUAAAUAAUUUUGUUCAAACUUAUUGGUAAGAUAGAGCUAAGGAUAGAAAUUGCUCUGAUUUACAAUACAGUAUUCUUUAAAACUCUUUCCUUUAUCUUUUCAUGAAAUCAAAUUACUAUGUUUAGAAAAUAGAAUUAAAAAUACGGUACAAAAUAUCCAAAAUGUUCAUCAGAAAAUUUGCAUCGGCCUUUUUACACAAAUUUGAGAAGUAAAAUAUAGAUAUAUAACAAUUUGAAAAAAAGAUCACAUUCAUAUAAAAUGUGUUAUUAAAGAUAUCGCAGGCGAAUAAGAAUAUCUUGGCAGCUGCUUUAUAGCUAGUAACAAAAACAUUUGUUCAUUCAGAGUGAAUGUCACUUCUGCAAUACCGUAACACUAAUAUCAAGCCAGUCAGUUAGCGGUUUUCUUUCGAUUUGAAAACUGUCUCCAUUGUAUAAUUUGACCCGGCCACACCCUUCCUCUAGCAUUAACUUUGGAACCCGACGUUCAAAUAGCACACUGCUGUUUUUCCAGUUUUUAAACUGUUGACAAAACCAGCAACAAUAUGUAACAGUAGCUGUAUUUGUAUGCGAGUUUAAGAUAUUGUUGAAGAAAAUAUCUUUAAAGAGAAAUGGACGAAGUCCUCAACAAAAAUGCUAUUAAAGGGGCAUGCCUCCAAUUUAUGUCAUUGAUUACAAAAUUUAGAAAGUAUUUACAGACUAUUUCGCAGUAUUCUUUUAUAGAAUUCUGUGAGUAAAAUUUGUAGAAAGCUAACUCCCGUGUCAAUCAUGCGGUACAAAUUUAAUGUAAAAAGGAAAAAAAAAUCUUAUACUGUAUUUCAUUGUAAAAUAUAAGCUUCUAUUGUUAAACAUGUAUUAAUUUAUUUGUUCCCAAAAUAUUUUAUUGAGGUUUCUGUGUCUAAAGAAAUUUAUCAUUUUUGGCGUAGGCCUAUAAUUGGUGGCAUGCCCCUUUAAACGUCGUUUAUUAUGAUGAUCCUUUUUAACUUUGUAGCUCACAAUUUCUAGAACAAAUAACGGUGUUUCUUAACGGCAAUGUUAAUGUCUUUUUACAAUAAUUUCUGCAAACAAGAGUUGAAGGAUCAUUUUUGAAGGUCAGAUUUUCUUUAAAAGGUCAAACUGAUUUGGUUAUAAUGUGGCUUACACAUUUUAUUAUUGAUAGAAAAUUGAUUAAUUUCUUGAUAUUUAAUGCUUUCGGUAUUUUUUGUCGUAUAUUUAAUAUAGGUUUUAAUAUUUUAUUAACAUAGAAAGUAUUAUUGAAUCCAUUCCUUUAUAAUUACCCUAUGACUCUGAAGUGUAAAUUUAUGUUCAUCAUUGAAAAUAGUGCUUUUCUAACCACGCAAUUAUGAAUAUUCUCUAUUUUGAAUUUUUGACAGCUGUUUAUCUGCUUUAAACGUAUAAUUAAUAGCACUGUGGCACUAGUUUUUAUAAAUAUUUCACAAUGUUACAUUUCUCCACAAAUAAAUAAAUCGAAAAUUCA